rnacentral:pre_miRNA from 11 species
GACCGCACGGGAUAAUCUAUUAUCUCGUGCAGUCGAGUUAAGCGGACCGCACGAGAUGUUUAUUUUUUCGUGCGGUU